rnacentral:lncRNA from 1 species
UAAGGGGGCAUCUAAACCAUGGUAUCUUGAGAGGACAGAGAUACCACCCUGGCCCUUUACAGCACGCUGCCGGUCUCAGGAUCCUGGACCCUGUCAGACUGUAGAUUUCUCCUCAGCCAGCCUAGCUGCUGGGCCUGUGUCUGCAGAAGUGUCCCUAUCCUCUGACUGGGUGGCCGGACAUGAUCUGUUGAACAGCUUAGCAGAGACCCUCACCUGGGAGACACAUUGGGGAUGUUUGUCUAGAGGAGGGGCCUCUGACCUUCUCCCUGCUCUGGCUAGCCCUGGCAAUUCGAUACCACCCCUCUGCCACUGUCUUGUUCUGAGAAUCUCCAAUGACGCUGAGGAGGUUGUGAGAGCCUUGCUUACCCUACAGUGAUGGUAAUGAUCAUCAGAGGGCAGGUGGCCAACUAAGAAGGUGGCAGAGGGGGUUCUUAGAGAUGGCACCGGGAAAUGGGACGAUGACACGACACUGCUUGGUUCAGCAGAAAGUUCUAUCUGCUUUGAACUAGACCAGACCUACGGAAUCUGUGGGGCUGUCCCAAAAUAAAACUAUUUCAUCUUAGUACUGAGUCAUCC